rnacentral:rRNA from 1 species
CAGCAGCCGCGGUAAUACGUAUGUCGCGAGCGUUAUCCGGAAUUAUUGGGCAUAAAGGGCAUCUAGGCGGCCGGAUAAGUCUGGGGUGAAAACUUGCGGCUCAACCGCAAGCCUGCCCUGGAAACUAUGCGGCUAGAGUACUGGAGAGGUGGACGGAACUGCACGAGUAGAGGUGAAAUUCGUAGGUAUGUGCAGGAAUGCCGAUGAUGAAGAUAGUUCACUGGACGGUAACUGACGCUGAAGUGCGAAAGCUAGGGGAGCAAACAGGAUUAGAGACCCCAGUAGUCCCUGUCUCUUAUAA